rnacentral:lncRNA from 1 species
AGAGAACCAAAUGAAGUAACUACCUAUGCUGCAUUAGUCAGGAGGAACACAUUUGAAGUUCUAAUUGCACGGGAUAUGCCUGAUGGGAAUCAACAAAAAGGAGAAUAUAGCCUAGCACCAGGUCUCCUUGAACCAAGAGGCACUUCUUACACCACAUCCUCAUGAUCUUUGGCUCCUGGAAUAUCAUAGGAUUGAACAAAUCCUACAAACAAAGAGAAUUAGUCAAAUUUCUUAUGACUAAUAAAGUUGAUUUACU